GAGAAGGAGCUUGCUCCUUUGACGUUAGCGGCGGACGGGUGAGUAACACGUGGGCAACCUACCCUAUAGUUUGGGAUAACUCCGGGAAACCGGGGCUAAUACCGAAUAAUNUAUNUCACCUCAUGGUGACAUACUGAAAGACGGUUUNGGCUGUCGCUAUAGGAUGGGCCCGCGGCGCAUUAGCUAGUUGGUGAGGUAAUGGCUCACCAAGGCGACGAUGCGUAGCCGACCUGAGAGGGUGAUCGGCCACACUGGGACUGAGACACGGCCCAGACUCCUACGGGAGGCAGCAGUAGGGAAUCUUCCACAAUGGGCGAAAGCCUGAUGGAGCAACGCCGCGUGAGUGAAGAAGGNUUUCGGAUCGUAAAACUCUGUUGUAAGGGAAGAACAAGUACAGUAGUAACUGGCUGUACCUUGACGGUACCUUAUUAGAAAGCCACGGCUAACUACGUGCCAGCAGCCGCGGUAAUACGUAGGUGGCAAGCGUUGUCCGGAAUUAUUGGGCGUAAAGCGCGCGCAGGCGGU
rnacentral:rRNA from 1 species